rnacentral:rRNA from 1 species
AACGAACGCUGGCGGCAGGCUUAACACAUGCAAGCCGAGCGCCCCGCAAGGGGAGCGGCAGACGGGUGAGUAACGCGUGGGAAUCUACCCACCUCUACGGAAUAACGCAUGGAAACGUGUGCUAAUACCGUAUACGUCCUUCGGGAGAAAGAUUUACCGGAGAUGGAUGAGCCCGCGUUGGAUUAGCUAGUUGGUGGGGUAAAGGCCUACCAAGGCGACGAUCCAUAGCUGGUCUGAGAGGAUGAUCAGCCACACUGGGACUGAGACACGGCCCAGACUCCUACGGGAGGCAGCAGUGGGGAAUAUUGGACAAUGGGCGCAAGCCUGAUCCAGCCAUGCUGCGUGAGUGAUGAAGGCCCUAGGGUUGUAAAGCUCUUUCACCCGUGAAGAUAAUGACGGUAACCGGAGAAGAAGCCCCGGCUAACUUCGUGCCAGCCGCCGCCGUAACAC